AUCCACCGCUAUAGGAUAUAUUUUCUAUAGUAAAAAUGGGAAAAGUUUGCAUCGUAAACAGUUGCCAAAGUGGGCGUAAGAGGAAAAAACAGAAAAAUGUUACGAAAUCCGUAUCUUUUUUCCAACCAACGAAUAUCCAAUUAAGAGAGAAAAUUUCCUUGGCUAAGGCGCAGUGUGCAAAGAAAUCGGAUACCGUAGUACAAGCAUCUAUUUCAAAACUACCUGAAGAAUUUCAAAAUGCCGUGAGAUCAUGUUUUGAAGCCGCGAAAAAAAAUAAUACAAAAGGUCGUCGAUAUACGUUAGAAUGGAUUUAUGAGUGCAUGUUGAUACGUAUAAAAAGCAGGAAUAAAAAAUCGCUUACAAGUUAACACCAGCGCAUUUGAAACCGAAAGGUUUUCAAGUAAUGAAUGUUCCUCUUGCAACUGAAGUGUUUGGUCACGAAAUUUCGGUCGCCAUGGCUCACUAUCAACCCUAUUGCGAGGAAUUGAAGGAUUCAACUGCAACACAAAAAUUUAUUGAUCUUGUAUUCAAUUUGAUACAAGCUAUGUCUUCGCGUAUACCAAGAGAUGCUCUGUACGUGAAUGAAAAUUGCAGACGAAGAAAGGCAAUCCAGGAAUUUUUAGAAUUCCUUGCAGACUGGGAAAAGCUCGAAAAAAAAAUACCUGUGUCAAGGAGCACGUUAACUGGAUUAAAAGUAACUUUACACUUGAAAUUUUGGAUAUGCUGAAUGUUGCAUGUGAUUACAAGUAUUUGAUGACAGCAACCCUAUCUCAAGAUCCGUUGGAGAGAUUUUUCUCCGUCAUGAGAUAUUCGUGUGGAGGAAACGAUCACCCUGAUCCCAAAAUGUUUGCACAAGUUUACCGAUUGGCGUCUUGUUUUUCCCUAAUACGCCCUCCGAAAGGUUGUAACGUUUCCGGCAAAGAUAUGCUGAAGAACUUACUAGGAGCAAAGGAUAUGGUAACUGGUUCAAACGAGGCUAAGCAAGCAUGGCUGGAAAGCCUCGACCAUAUACUAGAUAAUGGUGAACCAUUGAUUGAUGGUUAUGAAGACCAUGACUACAACGAGGCUGUCACCAGUGACGCGGUGCAGUCUUACAUUGCUGGGUACAUCGUCCGCAAAUUGCGAAAAAUCGUAAAAUGCAAUAAUUGUUUGAAACUCAUACAAAUGAGUCCCAAUGAGGGAAAAAUGUUAAUGAGAAACGACGUAAUCGAUAAAAUGGAUUUAUACGGCGGGUUAAUUUAUGCUAGUGACGAUCUAUUCAAUCUGACCAAAAUGAUAGAGAAAUGUGUGUUAAGAGCAAUAAGCAAAGCUUUAACCAAUAUGGAGACGAUCAGUGAAAUUACGCAAGAAUUACAAA